AUUGAACGCUGGCGGCAUGCUUUACACAUGCAAGUCGAACGGUAACAGGCCGCAAGGUGCUGACGAGUGGCGAACGGGUGAGUAAUGCAUCGGAACGUGCCCAGUCGUGGGGGAUAACGCAGCGAAAGCUGCGCUAAUACCGCGUACGAUCUGUGGAUGAAAGCGGGGGACCGUAAGGCCUCGCGCGAUUGGAGCGGCCGAUGUCAGAUUAGGUAGUUGGUGGGGUAAAGGCCCACCAAGCCAACGAUCUGUAGCUGGUCUGAGAGGACGACCAGCCACACUGGGACUGAGACACGGCCCAGACUCCUACGGGAGGCAGCAGUGGGGAAUUUUGGACAAUGGGCGCAAGCCUGAUCCAGCAAUGCCGCGUGCAGGAAGAAGGCCUUCGGGUUGUAAACUGCUUUUGUGCGGAACGAAACGGUUCUCUCUAAUACAGAGGGCUAAUGACGGUACCGUAAGAAUAAGCACCGGCUAACUACGUGCCAGCCGCCGCGGUAACAC
rnacentral:rRNA from 1 species